rnacentral:rRNA from 1 species
AACUGCAGGACACUAUUCGCAAGCAGUCGAGCGGGGAGGUUGCUUCGGUAACUGACCUAGCGGCGGACGGGUGAGUAAUGCUUAGGAAUCUGCCAUUUAGUGGGGGACAACAUUCCGAAAGGAAUGCUAAUACCGCAUACGUCCUACGGGAGAAAGCAGGGGAUCUUCGGACCUUGCGCUAAAUGAUGAGCCUAAGUCGGAUUAGCUAGUUGGUGGGGUAAAGGCCUACCAAGGCGACGAUCUGUAGCGGGUCUGAGAGGAUGAUCCGCCACACUGGGACUGAGACACGGCCCAGACUCCUACGGGAGGCAGCAGUGGGGAAUAUUGGACAAUGGGCGCAAGCCUGAUCCAGCCAUGCCGCGUGUGUGAAGAAGGCCUUUUGGUUGUAAAGCACUUUAAGCGAGGAGGAGGCUACCUAGAUUAAUACUCUAGGAUAGUGGACGUUACUCGCAGAAUAAGCACCGGCUAACUCUGUGCCAGCAGCCGCGGUAAUACAGAGGGUGCGAGCGUUAAUCGGAUUUACUGGGCGUAAAGCGUGCGUAGGCGGCUUUUUAAGUCGGAUGUGAAAUCCCCGAGCUUAACUUGGGAAUUGCAUUCGAUACUGGGAAGCUAGAGUAUGGGAGAGGAUGGUAGAAUUCCAUGUGUAGCGGUGAAAUGCGUAGAGAUCUGGAGGAAUACCGAUGGCGAAAGCAGCCAUCUGGGCCUAAUACUGACGCUGAGUACGAAAGCAUGGGGAGCAAACAGAUUAGAUACCCUGGUAGUCCAUGCCGUAAACGAUGUCUACUAGCCGUUGGGGCCUUUGAGGCUUUAGUGGCGCAGCUAACGCGAUAAGUAGACCGCCUGGGGAGUACGUCGCAGACUAAAACUCAAUGAAUUGACGGGGCCGCACAAGCGGUGGAACAUGUGGUUAAUUCGAUGCAACGCGAAGAACUUACUGGGCUGACAUACUA